rnacentral:rRNA from 1 species
GACGAACGCUGGCGGCGUGCUUAACACAUGCAAGUCGAACGGAAAGGCUCCAGCUUGCUGGAGUACUCGAGUGGCGAACGGGUGAGUAACACGUGGGUAAUCUGCCCUGCACUCUGGGAUAAGCCUGGGAAACUGGGUCUAAUACUGGAUAUGACCUUUCUCCUUAUGGGGUUUGGUGGAAAGUUUUGCGGUGUAGGAUGAGCCCGCGGGCUAUCAGCUUGUUGGUGGGGUGAUGGCCUACCAAGGCGACGACGGGUAGCCGGCCUGAGAGGGUGAGCGGCCACAUUGGGACUGAGAUACGGCCCAGACUGCUACGGGAGGCAGCAGUGGGGAAUAUUGCACAAUGGGCGGAAGCCUGAUGCAGCGACGCCGCGUGAGGGAUGACGGCCUUCGGGUUGUAAACCUCUUUCAGCAGGGACGAAGCGUAAGUGACGGUACCUGCAGAAGAAGCACCGGCUAACUAUGUG